rnacentral:rRNA from 1 species
AUGAGCUGGAGGAAAGCCGGAGGCGAUGGAGGCGUGUCCAAGCGGUGGGCCGUGCUCCUCUGCCUCGGGAGCUUCUGCCUUGGCCUGCUCUUCACCAACAGAAUGUGGACACUGCCUGAGGCAACUGAGGUUCCACUACCGAAUCAAAGCGUCGAGGAAGGCAAAGCUCUAGUUGCUGCAGAUUGUGGUUCAAAGAAGGUUCAAGAACUGCAAAAAUAUAAAGAUGUGUUACCAGAUCAAGAUACUCAUCAUGAUGUACAGACACUAGAUAAGACAAUAGCGACCUUAGAGACAGAACUGUCGGCUGCUAGAACCCUGCAAGAGUCAUUGCUCAACGGUUCCCCUGUUUCAGAAGACUUCAAAGUUUCUGAGUCAAUUGGGAGGAGAAAGUACCGUAUGGUGAUUGGCAUCAAUACCGCUUUUAGCAGUCGCAAGAGAAGAGAUUCCAUACGUUACACCUGGAUGCCUCGAGGUGAGAAAAGGAAACAACUUGAAGAACAGAAGGGGGUCAUAAUUCGGUUUGUCAUUGGUCACAGUGCUAUAGCAGGCGGAAUUAUUGAUAGAGCAAUUGAAGCAGAGGACAGGAAACAUGGGGAUUUCAUGAAGAUAGAUCAUGUCGAAGGAUACCUUGCCCUAUCUGGCAAAACUAAGACAUACUUUGCUACAGCUGUUUCAUUAUGGGAUGCAGAUUUUUAUGUGAAAGUUGAUGACGACGUGCAUGUGAACAUAGCAACGCUUGGACAGAUAUUGUCCAAACAGGCAUGGAAGCCAAGAGUAUAUAUGGGGUGCAUGAAAUCUGGCCCUGUCCUAUCUGAAAAGGGUGUGAGAUACUAUGAGCCUGAGCAUUGGAAAUUUGGCGAGCCAGGAAAUAAGUACUUCCGACAUGCUACUGGUCAAUUAUACGCCAUUUCAAAAGAUCUAGCAACCUACAUAUCUAUAAACAAGCACGUCCUGCACAAGUAUAUAAACGAGGAUGUUUCACUAGGAUCUUGGUUCCUCGGGUUGGAUGUCGAGCACAUUGAUGACCGGAGACUCUGUUGUGGUACUCCACCUGACUGCGAAUGGAAAGCUCAGGCGGGGAACACCUGCGCGGCGUCAUUCGACUGGAAGUGCAGCGGCAUAUGCAACUCGGAAGGCAGGAUCUGGGAGGUGCACAAUAAGUGCGCCGAGGGCGACAAGGCGCUGUGGAAUUCCACUUUCUAG